GAUGAACGCUGGCGGCGUGCCUAAUACAUGCAAGUCGAGCGAACAGACGAGGAGCUUGCUCCUCUGACGUUAGCGGCGGACGGGUGAGUAACACGUGGAUAACCUACCUAUAAGACUGGGAUAACUUCGGGAAACCGGAGCUAAUACCGGAUAAUAUAUUGAACCGCAUGGGUCAAUAGUGAAAGACGGUUUUGCUGUCACUUAUAGAUGGAUCCGCGCCGCAUUAGCUAGUUGGUAAGGUAACGGCUUACCAAGGCGACGAUGCGUAGCCGACCUGAGAGGGUGAAGGGCCCCAGUGGGGCUGAGCGACGGUACUGACUCUGACGGACGGCAGAGGUUGGGACGCUUCGGAGCAGUGCGAAAGCCUGACGGAGCAACGCCGGGUGAGUGAUGAAGGGCUGCGGAUCGUAAAACUCUGUUAGUAGGGAAGACCAAAUGUGUAAGUAACUAUGCACGGUUUGACGGUAGCUAAUAAGAAAGCCCCGGCUAACUACGUG
rnacentral:rRNA from 1 species